UACGGAGGGUGCAAGCGUUAUCCGGAUUCACUGGGUUUAAAGGGUGCGUAGGUGGGUUGGUAAGUCAGUGGUGAAAUCUCCGAGCUUAACUUGGAAACUGCCAUUGAUACUAUCAGUCUUGAAUAUUGUGGAGGUCAGCGGAAUAUGUCAUGUAGCGGUGAAAUGCUUAGAUAUGACAUGGAACACCAAUUGCGAAGGCAGCUGGCUACGCAUAUAUUGACACUGAGGCACGAAAGCGUGGGGAUCAAACAGG
rnacentral:rRNA from 1 species